UGGGGGAAUAUUGCACAAUGGGCGAAAGCCUGAUGCAGCAACGCCGCGUGAGUGAUGAAGGUCUUCGGAUUGUAAAGCUCUGUCUUUUGGGACGAUAAUGACGGUACCAAAGGAGGAAGCCACGGCUAACUACGCGCCAGCAGCCGCGGUAAUACGUAGGUGGCGAGCGUUGUCCGGAUUUACUGGGCGUAAAGGGUGCGUAGGCGGAUGUUUAAGUGAGAUGUGAAAUACCCGGGCUUAACUUGGGUGCUGCAUUUCAAACUGGAUAUCUAGAGUGCAGGAGAGGAGAAUGGAAUUCCUAGUGUAGCGGUGAAAUGCGUAGAGAUUAGGAAGAACACCAGUGGCGAAGGCGAUUCUCUGGACUGUAACUGACGCUGAGGCACGAAAGCGUGGGUAGCAAACAGGAUUAGAUACCCUGGUAGUCCACGCCGUAAACGAUGAGUACUAGGUGUAGGAGGUAUCGACCCCUUCUGUGCCGCAGUAAACACAUUAAGUACUCCGCCUGGGAAGUACGAUCGCAAGAUU
rnacentral:rRNA from 1 species